AUCGACAACACAGCUGACAGGUUAGGCUCUCCCUGUCAAUACACAUGCUAGAAAGAGUUUUGGCUGGCUAAUGUUUUUGCUAAUGUUGCUUAUGCUUAUCAGCAUUCGUUAGCAGAAUGCUAGCAUGUUAUGGGCAAAAAGUAAAGUACAGAUACUAAAGUAAAGUACAUAUAUCCCAAAAAACGACUUAAGUACAGUAAUAAAGUAUUUCUACUUCGUUACAAUACAACACUGGAAAUCGGUGCAAAGUAAAUGUCGGCCCACAACACUCUGACCUCUUCUUUCCAUGGUCAAAACAAUGACAAUACAGGGUCUGAUUCUGUUUUUUCCAGCUGUUAUGGCAGCCACGAACUGCACAGUUGACACUGGGCAUCUCUAUUAGCCUUAAAUUAGUACCAGAGCCUGUUUAAGACAUUCUCUUUUAGUACCGUUAUAAAGCGGAAAGUAAACCGGAAAUGAGAAUACGCGGAUGGCCGCUCCCAUCGUGACUUCAAGAAUAAGGUGAAUAGGAAAGUCCUAAGAUCCCAAAGGGACUCAACCCCCUUCAAGCAGUACCUCGGCUUGAUGAGAUACAGUUUACAAUUUAAAUAUGUGUGUGUGGCACAAAACAGAAGAACACCCACAACAAACCAAAAUAUUAUAGAACUAAAAAACCUUGUCUAACAAAACAUUCUAGGUUCUCUCUGCCUGACAGCCCACAAUACUUGUUGGAAAGGUAUGGCCUUACCUAUAUAACACUUUCAUCCAGCCAUCCAUUAAUCCAUCAUCUUUUUCUGAUAUAAACGUGAAUAAAUGAACCCUUGCACUUUCUUUCUCUCUUGUUCUUAAUUUUAUUUUUUAAUUCUUUCUGUAACUUUUGUUCUCUCCAUACAAAUGUAACUGUUACCCACUUGUACUGUGCUAAUUUGACUUUUAGAACUGUAUUUGCUCACGGAAAACAUCUGAGCCGGACACUGACACAACCACACUUCCCUCCACGGACAAACUAGACAGAGAGUUUGGUAAAAAUUUGAGUAAAGCUGACUCAGAGGGCCCUUAAACCCGCAGGGAAGACCUACGCUAGUGCUGAGGAGCAGGCCAGGAGGAAGCAGCUGUGGUUGAGACCAAAAAGAUGGACUGUCAUGAGCUCCCAUGUUGACUCAUCCUUUCAAGAAGUACCUCGGCUUGAUGAGCUGCCUGGGGAGGUCUGCUGAAUUCACCUUAUUUCGUAAGCGUUGAAUAAGAAGACCAGACUUUGACCACAGGACAGCACACUGCAUAACACACCUUAAUUCAAUUUCAGCUCUGCGCACUCUGUAGUUUUUAGGCUACAUUAAGAAGCUCUCACAGCAAUGACCGCUUUCUUUUCAGCUGGGAUAUGGCUAGGAUGGGCUUUAAUGAUA